rnacentral:rRNA from 1 species
UGGGGAAUAUUGCACAAUGGGCGCAAGCCUGAUGCAGCCAUGCCGCGUGUAUGAAGAAGGCCUUCGGGUUGUAAAGUACUUUCAGUCGGGAGGAAGGUGGUAAGGUUAAUAACCUUAUCAAUUGACGUUACCGACAGAAGAAGCACCGGCUAACUCCGUGCCAGCAGCCGCGGUAAUACGGAGGGUGCAAGCGUUAAUCGGAAUUACAGGGCGUAAAGCGAGCGCAGGCGGUUUCUUAAGUCUGAUGUGAAAGCCCCCGGCUCAACCGGGGAGGGUCAUUGGAAACUGGGAGACUUGAGUGCAGAAGAGGAGAGUGGAAUUCCAUGUGUAGCGGUGAAAUGCGUAGAUAUAUGGAGGAACACCAGUGGCGAAGGCGGCCCCCUGGACAAAGACUGACGCUCAGGUGCGAAAGCGUGGGGAGCAAACAGG